rnacentral:rRNA from 1 species
UACGGGGGGGACAAGCGUUGUUCGGAUUUACUGGGCGUAAAGGGCGUGUAGGCGGACUUUCAAGUCGGAAGUGAAAACCGGCAGCUUAACUGCAGGCUUGCUUUUGAUACUGUCAGUCUUGAGUACAGAAGAGGAAAGCGGAAUUCCAGGUGUAGCGGUGAAAUGCGUAGAUAUCUGGAAGAACACCAGUAGCGAAGGCGGCUUUCUGGUCUGAUACUGACGCUAAAACGCGAAGGCUAGGGGAGCAAACAGG